rnacentral:rRNA from 1 species
GACGAACCGUGCAAACGUUGUUCGGAAUCACUGGGCUUAAAGGGCGCGUAGGCGGGGUUGUGAGUCUGCGGUGAAAUCCUUCGGCUCAACCGAAGAAUGGCCGUGGAUACUGCGACCCUCGAGGGGUGUAGGGGCAUGCGGAACUUCCGGUGGAGCGGUGAAAUGCGUAGAUAUCUGGAGGAACACCGGUGGCGAAGGCGGCAUCCUGGACCGACACUGACGCUGAGGAGCGAAAGCCAGGGGAGCAAGCGGG